AACAAUUCUGAAGUCAGAGGAUAAGGAGAAAUAUUAUGAAGUUCAGGAUCACAUACUUAUUUUGAAAUUUCAAGGAUUUGCCACUCUCCCUUUUUGGGAAGGUGAUUUUCUGCUGCAUUGAACCAAUGGCAAAUUCUUGAGUCCAUUGGGUGCCCGAAGGUGUGCUGUGCCUACAACAGCUUGUGAAUGGGCAAUUUAUCCAUCCUGACUAUAACCUGUUCCAUUCUACUCGACCCUUGUGCCGAGUUCCAUGCUACCUUAGUGGCACUGUUCAGAAGCAAAAUUUGAUGGAUCAUGGUGAACAAGCAUUCAAUUGUCAAGGAGGCUGAUGGUACAGGGAAAUUGGGCAGAACGAAUGCCCCUUCCGGUUUUCUCAUACGGUGAGGGUUAAGGCCAAUUAAUACUACUGAUUGAAUGGAAAACGGGAAAGAAUCCAAUCGCCAUUGAAGGUUUACAAAGCAUUUGCUUCAUGUCAAGUUAAGAAGCUGGUACUUAUCAAACUUUAGCAAAGGCUUGCUAGUUUCAUUUCAUUAAUUGAAAACAUAUACAAGUCAAACGCUUGCAGGAAGGCCCAAUGGCUGAGAAAUCAGUGAAAUGGAGUGGUUAUUUCUGAUUUUCAUUUAGGACAUUUUCUAUCGGCAUUGACAUAAACAGAACAACCUGCAGCAAGGUUCUUGGUCCCCUGAAUAAACCAAGAGUUUCCAAGUACAAGGAACGGAGGAUCAUUGUUCAAGUACAAUGGUUUUUAUUUACAAUAGACAUCAAUUUUAAAGUCGAAUUUUUUUGUAAUUUUCUUG